rnacentral:lncRNA from 1 species
UCAAUGGCGGACCUAUGUGUUAAGGAGGGGGUGCAACUGACCCCCCUAAAAUUUAUAGAAACUUUGUUUUAUAUGUUACAUGGAAAAUGUCUUUGGAAUAAUUGGUAGUGUUUGACCUCAUUAAUAUCAAAACCUGGGUUCAAUGACACCCUUUGCAACACUCAUUAUUCAUUGUUUAUGAAGAUAAUUUCCUUUUUUAGAAUAUCUUAAUAUGCAACACUCAUUUUCUCACUUAGUUUACAUUUCAUUUUCUAUGCAAUAUAAUUAAUUAUUAAUUAUCUUCUCUUUCAUAAUACAUCUAUUUUCUGUUACAAGUAUUCAUCUAUUACAAAACAUUUUUUCUAUAUAUGGAUUUAAAAAAAUUGGCAAAAAUUGUAGUUUAACACAAAAUACUUUCAUACAAUAAGCCCAAAACUAAUUAAACCAUGUUAAUGCAAUUUAAAAUAUUUUACAUAUUUAUAAUAUAUGAUUAAGCAUAUUGUAGAUGAUUUAAUUUGAAUAUUUGCAUUACUAUUAUCGAAAUAUGGUAUCAUCUU